rnacentral:rRNA from 1 species
UCAAGCUAAAAAGAGCGCAGGGUGGAUGCCUUGGCACUAAGAGCCGAUGAAAGACGUGAUAAGCUGCGAUAAGCUACGGGGAGGAGCACAUAUCCAUUGAUCCGUAGAUUUCUGAAUGGGGAAACCCGGCUGAGCAUACCUCAGUCACCGUGCACUGAAUCCAUAGGUGUACGGAGGGAACCCGGUGAACUGAAACAUCUAAGUAGCCGGAGGAAGAGAAAGAAAACUCGAUUUUCAAAGUAGCGGCGAGCGAAAUGGAAAGAGCCCAAACCGGAGUGCGUGCACUCCGGGGUUCGGACUGCAUUUAUGACUUCUGACUGUAGCGGAACGGUUCUGGAAAGACCGGCCAGAGAGGGUGAGAGCCCCGUAGGCGAAACGGAAAGAAGCAGAGCAGGAUCCAGAGUACCACGAGACACGAGAAACCUUGUGGGAAUAAGCGGGGACCACCCCGUAAGGCUAAAUACUCCUUAGUGACCGAUAGAGCAGAGUACUGUGAAGGAAAGGUGAAAAGGACCCCGGGAGGGGAGUGAAAGAGAACCUGAAACCCUGUGUUUACAAACUGUGGAAGUACCAUACGAGUACAACCGCGUACUUUUUGUAGAACGGUCCGGCGAGUUACGUUUACUGGCGAGGUUAAGCACUUAAGGUGCGGAGCCGAAGGGAUACCAAGUCUUAACAGGGCGUAAAGUCAGUGUACGUAGACCCGAAACCGGGUGAUCUACCCAUGUCCAGGCUGAAGUUGCCGUAAAAGGCAAUGGAGGGCCGAACGCACAUCCGUUGAAAAGGGUGGCGAUGAGGUGUGGGUAGGGGAGAAAUUCCAAUCGAACCCGGAGAUAGCUGGUUCUCCUCGAAAUAGCUUUAGGGCUAGCCUCGUUUUAGUCUUAUGGAGGUAGAGCACUGAAUUUCCGCGGGGGCGUCAAAGCUUACCAAAGAAUAUCAAACUCCGAAUGCCAUGUAGAUGAUGAACGGGAGUCAGACUGCACGAGAUAAGUUGGGCAGUCAAAAGGGAAAGAGCCCAGACCGCCAGCUAAGGUCCCAAAGUGUGUGUUAAGUGGAAAAGGAUGUGGGAUUUCGAAGACAACUAGGAUGUUGGCUCAGAAGCAGCCAUACAUUAAAAGAGUGCGUAAUAGCUCACUAGUCGAGAGGUCCUGCGCCGAAAAUGUCCGGGGCUGAAACACAACACCGAAGCUGCGGAACCCGCAAGGGUUGGUAGAGGAGCAUUCUUAAAGGAACGAAGCAGUACCGAAAGGAGCUGUGGACUUUUAAGAAGAGAGAAUGCCGGAAUGAGUAGCGAGAGUAAGGUGAGAAUCCUUACGGCCGAAUAUCCAAGGUUUCCAGGGUAAAGCUGAUCUGCCCUGGGGAAGUCGGGACCUAAGGCGAGGCCGAGAGGCGUAGCCGAUGGACAACAGGUUGAGAUUCCUGUACUACAGUAUGACAGAACUGUGGGGACGCAGAAGGAGAGCACUACCUGGAAUGGAAUCCAGGGGCAAGCACAGGAGGGGUACGGCUGGAAAAACCGCCGUGCAACCCAAAGGUGUGACGCAUACCGAACUAAAGUAGGGAAAUGUGUGAGCCGGCUGCCGAGAAAAGCCGCUAUUGUUUGUACUGUACCCGUACCGUAAACCGACACAGGUGGAUGAGGAGAGAAUCCUAAGGCCGACGGAAGAAGCAUUGCUAAGGAACUCGGCAAAAUGACCCUGUAACUUCGGGAGAAAGGGUGCCUCGAAAGAGGCCGCAGAGAAUAGGCCCAAGCAACUGUUUAGCAAAAACACAGGUCUAUGCAAAACCGCAAGGUGAAGUAUAUGGGCUGACGCCUGCCCGGUGCUGGAAGGUUAAGGGGAGAUGUCAGGAGACGAAGCAUCGAACUUAAGCCCCAGUAAACGGCGGCCGUAACUAUAACGGUCCUAAGGUAGCGAAAUUCCUUGUCGGGUAAGUUCCGACCC